rnacentral:tRNA from 1 species
GCCCCGUUCGUCUAGCGGCCCAGGACAGCGGACUUUCGAUCCGCAAGCAGGGGUUCGAUUCCCCUACGGGGUA